ensembl:lncRNA novel transcript
GCCACUUCUACCAUCUGUGAAAUGAGGGAUGGGAGGGGGAACUUGAGGAAGUGGUAUUAGAUGAUCAUUAAUAGUCCUGUCAGCAUAUUAUUGUAGGGUUUUAUGAAUAUUAUAAUUGCAUUUUAGACCAUAAUAACCAAACAUUACAUAUUGAUAUAUUUAAUUUUUUUAUUUAAGUGGUACAUGAUCAGCAUUGUCCACAUUUACAAUCGAUGGAGAAACAGUGAAAUUCAGUGUUAUGUUAAUGGACAACUGGUAUCUUAUGGUGAUAUGGCUUGGCAUGUUAACACAAAUGACAGUACCUUCAAGUUUAAAUCUGAGAGUGAUAUUCAUUUGGCAGAACAUCAUAAACAGGUUUUGUAUGAUGGGAAACUUGCAAGUAGCAUUACCUUUACAUAUACUGCUAAGGCCACUGAUGCUCAACUCUGCCUGGAAUCAUCACCAAAAGAGAAUGCAUCAAUUUUUGUGCAUUCCCAACAUGCUCUAAUGCUUCAGAUUCAAGUGCUUUUUCCACUGUUUCCCCAAUUGGAUAAUCGGCAGCUCAAUGACAGUCAAGUGGAAACAACUGUCUGGUAAGUUUUCUUUACAUGUGCAAUUGCUGGUAUUUUAUACACACUUAGACUAUGCAUGAUGUACUCAGUGCUGUGUAAAUGUAU